UACGUAGGGGGCAAGCGUUGUCCGGAGUUACUGGGCGUAAAGCGCACGCAGGCGGUCUGCUAAGUUUGGAGUGACAGUUGGUGGCUUAACUGCCAAAGUGCUUCGAAAACUGACAGACUUGAGGGCUUCAGAGGGACACGGAAUUCCGGGUGGAGUGGUGAAAUGCGUAGAGAUCCGGAGGAACACCAAAGGCGAAGGCAGUGUCCUGGGGAGUGCCUGACGCUCAGGUGCGAAAGCCAGGGGAGCGAACGGG
rnacentral:rRNA from 1 species